ACUUUGAUCCUGGCUCAGAAUCAACGCUGGCGGCGUGCCUAACACAUGCAAGUCGAACGGCAGCACAGUGUGUAGCAAUACACAUGGGUGGCGAGUGGCGGACGGGUGCGUAAUGCGUAGGAAUCUACCCUAAAGCGGGGGACAACCCGGGGAAACUCGGGCUAAUACCGCAUAAUCUCUACGGAGAAAAGGGGGCUAACAAUAGCUCUCACUUUAGGAUGAGCCUACGUCGGAUUAGCUUGUUGGUGGGGUAAAAGCUUACCAAGGUAACGAUCCGUAGCUGGUCUGAGAGGACGGCCAGCCACACUGGGACUGAGACACGGCCCAGACUCCUACGGGAGGCAGCAGUGGGGAAUUUUGGACAAUGGGGGAAACCCUGAUCCAGCAAUGCCGCGUGUGUGAAGAAGGCCUUCAGGUUGUAAAGCACUUUUAGUGGGGAAGAAAGAUUCGAGGUUAAUACCUUCGAAUG
rnacentral:rRNA from 1 species